rnacentral:rRNA from 1 species
UCCUUGUUUUUCCCGCCUAUAUACCGCCGUCGUCAGCUUACCCUGUGAAGGCCCAAUAGUAAGCACAAUUGGCACAGCCCAAAACGCCAGGUCGAGGUGUAGCGUAUGGAGGGGGAAGAAAUGGGCUACAUUCAGUGAAUCACUGAACACGGAAGGCGGGCUGAAACGCCCGCCCGAAGGAAGUGUUAGCAGUAAGUGGGAAAUAGAGCGUCCCACUGAAACUGGCCCUGAAGCGCGUGCACACCGCCCGUCACUCUCCCCGAAACAAAGCUAUACGCAUACAUAAAACCUAAUCAUCAAGAAGGGGAGGCAAGUCGUAACAUGGUAAGUGUACCGGAAGGUGCACUUGGAAAAAAAU